CACAGAGUAAGUAUUGCCAGCGAGUAGGCGUAUAUCCUACAGCAAAUCUGAGGGAGAUGUGUGUACAUGUUUCUUUGUACGUGUGUGUUUUGUUCAAAAUUCAUUUUCCGACACCAAACACAGGAUUAGCACUGCUUGACAACACAACAAUCGCUCAUAAGCCCCAAUGUAACCUGAGAGGGGUGGAGAAAGACGAGAAGAAAGCAGGGGCAGGGGCUAACAAGACAGAUAUCCGACAAUCUGCAACACACAUUUACACGUACCAAGUGUUGGUUCAUGUCCUGUCUGUAUUCCAGGUUCCCAAGCCCCCAAUGCAUCUAGAAUCUGUGUGUUCUGGCUGGGAACAAUAUUGAGAUUUCAUCCCUGGACCUUCUGAAACCAGUGCGCCAGUCCAGUUCUACCCACCACACAGACAGCAGUGGUAGCCGGUAGCCCUGUCCAAUACUUCUGGGUGUGCAGAUGAGCUGAAGAGAGUGAAAGACACCGGGGUGGGCAAGAGGGCACAACUGGACAGCGGAGGCAGAGAGAGAAGGAUGGACGAAGCAGACAGGCGUGCCAUCGAUUCCAGAGAGACGCCCCAUCGACCAGGCCCACUGACUGAUGGAGGCCCUGCUCCAAGGCUAGCUGGAGAGAAGGAGAGAGCGCUCACUGAGACCACUUUCGCCAGCCUGACCUGCCCUGCCUACAGACGGGACAUUGAGAUGGAUUGGAUGGAUGGAGGAGCAUUACGCGGAAAGCAAACAAGAAAGAAAAUGAUCGAGACAGAUUAGAGGGUUCUACCUAUGGAACCAUUUAUGUUUUGUUUAUUGAAUGCAUGCAAGUUACCAAGUGAUGGUUACCAUGGCUUUAACUGUGACAAGUUUUGUUUCCAUGCAUUGUCUCUGCAGCCAGAUGAAGAAAUUUUAAUUCAUGAAAACAUUAAAGGAAUAUUCUGGGUUAUUUAUAACUUGAAUGUCUAUGGACAGCAUCUGUGGCAUCUGGCUUAUACUGCCAGUGCACUAUAAGCAUUUUGUGUUCGUUUAAAUCAUUGUCUGCAGUAACUAACAGCAUGUCACAGAUUUAGUACACACACACUUCAAAUAUAAAUAAUAUUCUUAAAAUAUUCCAAAAUUUAGGACGUGAUUUGAUUUUAUCUAUCAAUAACUGAUUGAAUUGUGAAAAGCUUGUUACACACUGUAAUGGAGCUAGACUGAAUGAUAGUUUGAUAGAUAUCAAUGAUGUCAGCGAAAACAGAAAGUCAAAGUGUGCCGUGUACCAUGAAUCAUUCCCAAUAAAACCAAAAAUAUUAAAUUAUUUCUGGUCCAUUUUAUUGAUUUCA